UGUGAUUCCCCCAGUAGUGGCGAGCGAACGGGGAAGAGCCCAAACCGGUAGCGUUUCGGCGAUACCGGGGUCAUGGGACCACGCCAUUCGAAACAAGAUGAAGUGCAAUUACCUGGAAAGGUAAGCCGCGGAGGGUGAUAGCCCCGUGCACGUCAAUUCUUGUGGAGAUAGUGGAAUCCCGAGUAGGGCGGGACACGAGAAAUCCUGCCUGAAUUCGCCAGGACCUCCUGGCAAGGCUAAAUACUCCCGAGAGACCGAGAUUGAACCAGUACCGCGAGGGAAAGGUGAAAAGUACCCCUAGCAGGGGGGUUAAAUAGACCCUGAACCCGCGCGCCUACAAGCGGUCGGAGCCACGCGAUGUGGUGACGGCGUGCCUUUUGCAUAAUGAGCCUACGAGUUAGUCGUCACCAGCGAGGUUAAGGGCUUCAGGCCCGUAAGCCGAAGUGAAAGCGAGCCUUAACAGGGCGUCAAGUUGGUGGCGCUAGACGCGAAACCUUGUGAUCUACCCACGAGCAGGUUGAAGUCGCGGUAACACGUGAUGGAGGACCGAACCGGUAAACGUUGAAAAGUUUUCGGAUGACUCGCGGGUAGGGGUGAAAGGCCAAUCAAACUGGGAAAUAGCUCGUACUCUCCGAAAUGCAUUUCGGUGCAGCCUGUGAUGUUCUGUUCCAGAGGUAGAGCUACUGGUUGGACGCGAGGGCUUCACCGCCUAUCAAAUCCGGAUAAACUCCGAAUGCUGGAACACGAAAUCAUGGAGUGAGCCCGCGGGUGCUAAGGUCCGCGGACGAGAGGGAAAGAACCCGGACCACCGGCUAAGGUCCCGGAUGGACAGUUAAGUUGAUCAAACGAGGUGGGAUCGCGGAGACAGCUAGGAUGUUGGCUUGGAAGCAGCCAUUCAUUUAAAGAGUGCGUAACAGCUCACUAGUCGAGCGAUCCCGCGUGGAUAAUACACGGGCAUCAAACUGUCAACCGAAGCCGUGGGGUCAGCGAAAAGCUGACCGGUAGGAGAGCAUUCCUGCCAGCGUUGAAGGUCACCCGCGAGAGUGACUGGAGCGGCAUGAAAAGCAAAUGUAGGCAUAAGUAACGAUAAUGGGGGCGAGAACCCCCCACGCCGCAAGACCAAGGCUUCCCCGGCAAUGUCAAUCAGCCGGGGGUCAGCCGGCCUCUAAGGCUAACCCGAAGGGGGAUGCCGACGAGAAACGGGUUAACAUUCCCGUGCUUCUCGUCACCGUGACGCGGUGACGGGGUGAUGAAUGGACCGCGCGCUGACGGAAUAGCGCGUUGAAGGCCGUACCCUUCGAGGGUGGUAGUCAAGCACGCCACCCGAGGCGAUAGCCGAUAGUACCACGAGACUCCGGUCGAGUGGAUAGCGUCCAGGCAAUUUACCCCCGAGAAAACCCGCUAAACUUCAAGUGACGAGGAACCGUACUGUAAACGGACACACGUGGUCGGGUAGAACAUACCAAGGCGCUCGAGUGAUUCAUGGUCAAGGAACUAGGCAAAAUAGUCCUGUAACUUCGGGAAAAAGGACGCUCUAGUGAUAGAGCCGCAGAGUAAUGGCCCAGGCGACUGUUUACCAAAAACACAUGGCUAUGCCAAAUCGAAAGAUGACGUAUAUGGCCUGACACCUGCCCGGUGCCGGAAGGUUAAGAGGAGAGCUCAUCGGAAACGAGAAGGUUUGAAUUGAAGCCCCGGUAAACGGCGGCCGUAACUAUAACGGUCCUAAGGUAGCGAAAUUCCUUGUCGGGUAAGUU
rnacentral:rRNA from 1 species